UACGAAGGGGGCUAGCGUUGCUCGGAAUUACUGGGCGUAAAGCGCACGUAGGCGGCUUUCUAAGUCGGGGGUGAAAUCCUGGAGCUCAACUCCAGAACUGCCUUCGAUACUGGAGAGCUUGAGUCCGGGAGAGGUGAGUGGAACUGCGAGUGUAGAGGUGAAAUUCGUAGAUAUUCGCAAGAACACCAGUGGCGAAGGCGGCGCACUGGCCCGGUACUGACGCUGAGGUGCGAAAGCGUGGGGAGCAAACAGG
rnacentral:rRNA from 1 species